rnacentral:rRNA from 1 species
GACGAACGCUGGCGGCGUGCCUAAUACAUGCAAGUCGAACGAUCAGACUCGAGCCUGGCGCCGCUGACGAUUGGGGAGCGGGGGUGAGUAACGCGUGGAAACCCUACCUAAAACUCUACUAUAAGUUGGGAAAACCGUAUCUAACAGGGGAUAAUAUGUGGAACCACAUGCUUCAACAGUGAAAGACGGUGUUGGGGGCUCUUAUAGAUGGAUCCGCGCCGGAUUAGCUAGUUGUUAAGGUAACGGCUUACCAAGGGGACCAUGCGUAGCCGACCUAAGAGGGUGAUCGGCCACACGGGAACUGAGACACGGACCAGACUCCUACGGGAGGCAGCAGUAGGGAAUCUUCGGCAAUGGGCGAAAGUCUGACGGAGCAACGCCGCGUGAGUGACGAAGGUCUUCGGAUCGUAAAACUCUGUUAUUAGGGAAGAACAAAUGUGUGAGUAACUGAACCCGUAUUGACGGUACCUAAUCAGAAAGCCACGGCUAACUACGUG